AUGAAAAAGUUGCACUUGCUGUGAGGAAUACCCGCAAAGAACACAGGAGUUGUGGAUUUACAUAUCUUUUUCUUUUUAGGAAGCAGAGCCGUUUAUCUCGAAUCACACAAAUACCCAAGAAACAGGUUCUUUUCUCAGAUUUCUUCGUUGGCCGAAGAGAAAUAAGAUUCAGCUUGACAGAUCUAAGAUGAUCAAGGAAGUACAGUGCAAUCUGAUGAGCAGAAAGACAGGUUAAAGAGGUCUGAAGAAUGCAGGGUAUGAAUAACAAAAGAAAACAAUACAUGUAGUAUCUUUGUCAUCAUUUCCGUGUCAUCAUUCAUUUCCUUUUCAUGAGUAGAGUUUGGAAACGCCAAAUUAUAACCAUUUGUACAAUUCCUAUAACACUUGUUUUAUCUAUUGCCACAAGUUACUAAGGUAGUGUUUGACUUUCAGCAUUUGUUACGCAUUCGUUCACUUUGCAAGGGUUAAGACGACGUCCUCGACUCUCAAACCUUCAGUUACCAAGUUAGUUUUAUUGUUGGAAAACGCAGAUGACCAAGGGACAGUCCCAACCGAAGAGCCUAAUAUAACGAACAUCCACUUCAUACGGACUGGAAUACUUCAACGUGAAAAGAGUGUAGAUUGUCUGACAUUGAGCUGCGAUGUGUAGAAGACAAACUUGAUACACCAAAUCAGCAAGAACUAUUUCUAUUGGUCACUUUUCAGCACUGUGUUUGGAAUGAGCCUUUUGAAGCUGCCAGCGUGUAUACUUAUCAACGAACUGAAAAAAUGAAUGGAUUAGAAGAUAAUUACAACUUACUGCAGUUAAUUGUAUAAUUUCAAGGCAAACGAGAAUAAUUCCGAAAAUCUAACGCACUUGAGAGUAACGAUGAACAAUCUUAUAUAACAAAAGAUCCAUGGAUUUUUUUAGAUUUGAUAUGCCAUCGAGGUUAAAAAUAUAUUAAGU